UACGUAGGGACCAAGCGUUGUCCGGAAUCAUUGGGCGUAAAGCGCGCGUAGGCGGCCCGGUAAGUCCGUUGUAAAAGUCAAAGGCUCAACCUUUGAAUGCCGAUGGAUACUGCCGGGCUGGAGUCCGGAAGAGGCGAGUAGAAUUCCUGGUGUAGCGGUGGAAUGCGCAGAUAUCAGGAGGAACACCGGUGGCGAAGGCGGGUCUCUGGGCCGAUACUGACGCUGAGGAGCGAAAGCGUGGGGAGCGAACAGG
rnacentral:rRNA from 1 species